UACCUGUCAAAUUUUCGAGUGAAAUAAUCUAAGGUUUUUUAACUAAGAUUUUUUACCAAUGGGUAAAUAAAGAAAUUUAUUUGCCUCCCACUUCGGAAAGGAAAUUUGUCUUAACAAAU
rnacentral:ncRNA from 1 species